rnacentral:rRNA from 1 species
UACGUAGGGCGCAAGCGUUGUCCGGAAUUAUUGGGCGUAAAGAGCUCGUAGGCGGCUUGUCACGUCGGGUGUGAAAGCCCCGGGGCUUAACCCCGGGUCUGCAUUCGAUACGGGCUGGCUAGAGUGUGGUAGGGGAGAUCGGAAUUCCUGGUGUAGCGGUGAAAUGCGCAGAUAUCAGGAGGAACACCGGUGGCGAAGGCGGAUCUCUGGGCCAUUACUGACGCUGAGGAGCGAAAGCGUGGGGAGCGAACAGG